UACGUAGGUGGCAAGCGUUGUCCGGAUUUACUGGGUGUAAAGGGCGUGCAGCCGGGCUGACAAGUCAGAUGUGAAAUCCCGCGGCUCAACCGCGGAACUGCAUUUGAAACUGUCAGUCUUGAGUACCGGAGAGGUCAUCGGAAUUCCUUGUGUAGCGGUGAGAUGCGUAGAUAUAAGGAAGAACACCAGUGGCGAAGGCGGAUGACUGGACGGCAACUGACGGUGAGGCGCGAAAGCGUGGGGAGCAAACAGG
rnacentral:rRNA from 1 species